ACAGACCUGGAGUAUCAGGGAGGGUGUCAAUGAGGACGUGCGUCUGCAGCCAGGCAGAAGGUUUGUCAUCCAGUGACUCCACGUUACCACUGGAAACUUCCAAAGGACAAGACAGUCCCAGAAAGAGACUGACUUGAGAGUGAGCCCAAAAAGCAGGCUUGUGGCAGUGAACUCUGGCGAGACUGAUGGAGACAAAUGGAUGUCAUGGGGACACCAAAACAGAGCCUUUCCAGGAAGCAAGUAAAAAGUCAGCUACAGCCUGCUCGUACCCCAGGCGGCUGCAACAGUCUGCACCUACAAUCAAAGGCUAUUCAAAAAAGUGUGAAAUUCUUUUUUUUUAACAUCUUUAUUGGAGUAUAAUUGCUUUACAAUGAUGCAUCCCCUGCUUCGAUACCCGCCUGCUUGAGUCCUGUGAAGAGGUGGCAAUGCAGAAAGCGUGUAAAUAAAAACUGAAAGAGGUGUUUCUUGAAAUUCAUAAAAUCUUGAGGCCUGAGUGACACUGCUUCGAAACUGAAGAAGGCAUGCUUCCCGCCAUGCCGCGAGGCAUUGGUCUGAUGAUGUAGUUUAUAUAAACGGUAAUUCCGGAUAACAUUUGGUGUUGGUAAUAUCUUCCAAGCAUUUCUCCUGUCUUCAAGAUAAAGAAGUUAAGACAUCCGGAAAAGGAUCCAACAGUCAUAAAGCCCUCCUGUGAGAGGUGCCCUCCCUAGACCAGGAUGAGAGGAACAUCCUCAUCUCCAAAGAAAAAGGGAUGCGAAGAAGAAUUGGGAUGCACAGGCCUGGCUAAGCGUCCCCCAGUUUACUACUCUGACCUCAUACCUGUUGUCCUAGGUGCUUGCGGAGGGCUGGCAUCCCAGCAAGAGGAAGUAUUGACUAGAAAUUGAACCCAGAUUCUGAGUUCUGUUUUUGGCUUCAUCAAUGAUUUCUGAGUACAAACUGAGGGCAUAAAUACGGAUUCACGUGUGCCUUUGUUCUCUGGCCUGCCACGUCUGUCCCCACCAGCACAUCUACGCCAGAGCAGGCACUCCACACACUCAGGGACUCAACACACGUCCCCUGAAUGAAUGAUGAAAAUUGCUCUGUCACGAUGGGGGAAAAUUCACCUAGGGUGGAAGAUCCAUCCACCUUUUUCAAGACCCAACGGAAAAACUGGGCAGGUGCGUAUUUCACUCUUCAGUUUUCCAGAUGAGGCUUCCAUGAGUGGAUACAGGUCGUGAUGUGAACCCUUCAAAAGCGUCCGUGAACUGCUUCCUUCCACUUAGAACCCUUGGUUAUCUCAAAGCCGGUCAACUCUUCCAGCCACCUUUAUCCAGGGGCAGCAAGCAAGGAGACCAUAAACUCAUCCAGAUUUAGGCCCUCAGUGCCCAGGAGGAGUGGAGAGAAUAUCCAGGCUAUGGAAUUCUGGCGGCUCAUUAUCAUGACAAAGGUGGUGACAACUUGGACCGGAAGCUGAACAAAAAGCAUCCACUGUUCUAUUUGCAAUUCUAGGAUUGUAUUUGUAAUCUCUCUUUGCGGGAGAAAGAGACUGCCAGUAAAAGGCUGAAACACAAUAGGAAGAGAGGCCGCACAAUGCAGAGAGAGACCAAAGGGCUCCGUGCCUGUGCUCACACGCACGCUCCGUGUGCGCACCUUCCCUGUGUCUGUACACAUUGCACAAGAGGAAAUUAUUGUCAUGGGUAAGAGUUUAACAUUACUGACCUGUAAGAUGGCUUUUAAAAAAUAUAUGCAACAUGGCUGGAAUGCCAAUUGGAAGUGGAGAAGCAUUUCGGGAAGAUGAACUGGCUGCAUGAAUAGACAUGGAGCAGCGCGAGCCGCUUUAAUUUGUUCGCUUUGGAGUGUCUGGGAGUCAGCUAACGCUGUAACCUGCGAAGGAAGUCACCGUGAACGUGAUUAAUAACGUGGUGGGGGGAGGCUCUAGAGUUAUUGUGCUGUGUAGGGUUUUGGUGUCAGGGAGGAGGUAACUGUUCCAAGAGUCACUGACAAUUUUGGUUAACAAGUGAUACAAAUGGAACAGGUCACUCUGCUGUUCUUUGGAGCCCUCCCUCGCCCGGUAGCUGCUCAACUCUGCAAAUUCUAAUUCAUUACCAUUUGCUCCCCUUUUGUUACCUACCUAGCCAGUGACUGUAGCUGGGAAGUGUGUGGUGCAGGGACCAUUCAAAAAAAGCUCAUUGUCCCUGGAGCUCGAGGAGCAAAGCCAUUGCUUUUGUUCAGCUGGAAAAGAGUGAAACCCACAUUGCCUUCUAUCGUCCCACUGCAAACUAGGCUUUUAAUUGGCACGUUGGCGUUAGGAUUUUAAAAGGUGUGCGAUGACAGCUUAGAA